UCCUCGGUGGCUCAGUUGGACAAAGCAUCUGCCCCGUAAGCAGGAGAUUCCGGGUUCGAGUCCCGGUCGGGGCA